GCGGGCGUAGUUCAGUGGUAGAACGUCAGCUUCCCAAGCUGAUGACAUCAGUG
rnacentral:tRNA from 1 species